GACCCGUUCGACCCGAGGAGAACCUGGACCUCCCCAAGCCAAUUUUGACAAUAUUCACAUUAUUUCUGGCGAAUCAUGACUCCCCAUCACCUACAAACAUCAUCACAUCCCUCCUCCUCAGUUGAUCACCCAAAAAAUUCGAUGCAAAUGAGACCUUUUCAUGAUGUAUAGUGGCGACGGCGCCAUGGGACUCAUGGUGGCAAUCCGCGAAUUCCGAAUGAAAUACACUCAAUCUUCAUCACCAAAACACUCAUUUAAAGGUCAGGAACAAAGCCCAAAUAGGUUUGAGGGUGGCAGAGCACCGGUACUGGUCGAAUCGAAGCACACCUACACCAAGGGUUCCGCCCAUCCGUGGGAAAAUUCAGGCUUUUCCUGACCGAAUUGGACUUCAGCCCAGGAUAAGAUGAAGAGAAAGAAUGAUGAAGUUAAAGAAGAAGGUAUUCAAGAAGCAAUUGAGGUAGUGAAGGUGAUCUUUCAGACGACUACAACUUGUGUGCCAAACUGGAAGACCAUGAUAUGGAUGAUGACAUAUAUCGUCUUUUGUUGUUGGUUUCAAACAUGCACAUGGUAUACCUUUUUUAUUACUAACUCAAUGUCUUAGACUCUUAUUAGCAUCUCAAUAUGUCUAGAGGUGCUAUGAUGUUUAUGUUAGCUUUUGGGAUGUACAGUUUGUGUAUGUACUAAAUGUUACCUAAAUUAUUGAUCAAUGAAAAUAUGAUUGACCAAAGUA